AAGGAUGGUUGAGGUCCUAUGCAAUCCAUUCUUUUAGCCAACACAACAACUAGUGUUUUCACAUUGACGUUUUCAUCAUCAUAUGCACAAUGACCAUCAUCAAGCUUGAGCAGCUUCUUCAGCAUAUGCAGCAUUAGCAAUGCCAAACCUUGAUUUUGUAAGAAACAUUUUUUUCUUUUUUUCCAAACGCUGAUGAACUGAAAUCCAUGAAACAUGAAGCAAGAAGGCCGUUAGAUGGUGGCUAUAGGAUCAGAGCAAUCCAAAUGAAACAAAUCACUAUGGGAUGUAUGAAGAGACUUCUUGUGUACUCAUUAAGACAACGCAGUAACUAGUAAACUAUUACCAUUUUGAAAAAGAUGGUAAGAACAAAUAGGAAUUAAUUAACCUAACAGAUUGUAGAAUGUGCACAAGCACAUUAAAGACAAAGGUAAGUAAUGGAAUAACGUGUUAUUUUCAGUUUCUACCAUUCACCAGCUGAAACAAUUAACAUUCCCUAAAAGAUCACACAAUUGAGAACUAUGAGAAUGGACAAAAGCAAAUUAAAGCUUUCAACUACAUUAUUUAGUUUAAAAUGCACAAUGAAAACCCUAAUCUUUUCUCUUAAGCAAACCACAAAACGAAGAGGCAAUCGCAGGUCCCAAAGCGCGCAUCUACUACCCGCAGUCUUCUAUCUAAAUCUGCAGCGUCAAUAGAUGUCCACAUG
rnacentral:lncRNA from 1 species